UACGUAGGGGGCUAGCGUUGCUCGGAAUUACUGGGCGUAAAGGGCGCGUAGGCGGAUCGUUAAGUCAGAGGUGAAAGCCCAGGGCUCAACCCUGGAAUUGCCUUUGAUACUGGCGAUCUUGAGUACGGGAGAGGUGUGUGGAACUCCGAGUGUAGAGGUGAAAUUCGUAGAUAUUCGGAAGAACACCAGUGGCGAAGGCGACACACUGGCCCGUUACUGACGCUGAGGCGCGAAAGCGUGGGGAGCAAACAGG
rnacentral:rRNA from 1 species